GGAUGUAGCUCAGUGGCACAGCACCUGCCUGGCAAGCACAAAGUCCUGAGUUCGAUCCUCAGUACCA
rnacentral:tRNA from 1 species